UACGAAGGGGCUAGCGUUGCUCGGAAUGACUGGGCGUAAAGGCGCGUAGGCGGCGAUCAAGGUCAGAUGUGAAAUUCCUGGGCUUAACCUGGGGCUGUAUUUGAUACGUGGUGGCUUGAGUGCGGAAGAGGUCGUGGAAUUCCCAGUGUAGAGGUGAAUUCGUAGAUAUUGGGAAGAACACCGGUGGCGAAGGCGGCGACCUGGUCCGUGAC
rnacentral:rRNA from 1 species